AAAGAUUGUCGUUUUAUACUGUUCAUAUCUAACAUUUGUCUGUCUGUCUUAUUUGAAAAGUUUUUAUGAUUAGUAUUUUAAUUGUUAUUAAAUGAUAAAAUAUAAGUAAUACUUUAUUUCUGACUAUUUUUUUUAUGUUUUCCAUAAAGUUUUUAAAUAAGAUGGGCGGUCAAAUGUUGGACACGGAAACCCACAACUGCACUUAAA
rnacentral:pre_miRNA from 1 species